UGAGGAAUCUUCCACAAUGGACGAAAGUCUGAUGGAGCAACGCCGCGUGCAGGAUGACGGCCUUCGGGUUGUAAACUGCUUUUCUGAAGGAAGAUUAUGACGGUACUUCAGGAAUAAGGACCGGCUAACUACGUGCCAGCAGCCGCGGUAAUACGUAGGGUCCAAGCGCUAUCCGGAAUCACUGGGCGUAAAGCGUGCGUAGGUGGCGCGUUAAGUGCAAUGCGAAAUCCUGUGGCUCAACCAUAUGGACUGUGUUGCAUACUGGCGUGCUCGAGGACGGCAGAGGCAAGUGGAAUUAGUAGUGUAGCAGUGAAAUGCGUAGAUAUUACUAGGAACACCAAUGGCGAAGGCAGCUUGCUGGGCCGACCCUGACACUGAGGCACGAAAGCGUGGGGAGCGAACAGG
rnacentral:rRNA from 1 species